rnacentral:rRNA from 1 species
UACGGGGGGGCAAGCGUUGUUCGGAAUUACUGGGCGUAAAGGGCUCGUAGGCGGCCAACUAAGUCAGACGUGAAAUCCCUCGGCUUAACCGGGGAACUGCGUCUGAUACUGGAUGGCUUGAGUUCGGAAGAGGGAUGUGGAAUUCCAGGUGUAGCGGUGAAAUGCGUAGAUAUCUGGAGGAACACCGGUGGCGAAGGCGGCAUCCUGGACCGACACUGACGCUGAUGAGCGAAAGCCAGGGGAGCAAAGCGGGGAU